ACACGUAGGGGCCUGACGUUGUUCGGAAUCAUUGGGCGUAAAGGGCGCGCAGGCGGCCGUCCAAGUCCGGUGUUAAAUGGUCGGGCUCAACCCGAUCAUGCGCUGGAAACUGGGCGGCUUGAGUCCCGUAGGGGAUGCCGGAAUUCCAGGGGUAGGGGUGAAAUCUGUAGAUAUCUGGAAGAACACCGAUGGCGAAGGCAGGCAUCUGGCCGGAGACUGACGCUGAGGCGCGAAGGCGCGGGGAGCGAACAGGUUUAGAUACCCUGGUAGUCCGCGCAGUAAACGAUGCGCACCAGGUGUCGGGCGGCAGCGCCCGGUACCGGAGCUAACGCGAUGAGUGCGCCGCCUGGGGAGUAUGCCCGCAAGGGUGAAACUUAAAGGAAUUGACGGGG
rnacentral:rRNA from 1 species